AUAGGCCCAAGCGACUGUUUACCAAAAACAUAGGUUUCUGCUAAGUCGCAAGACGAUGUAUAGGAGCUGACGCCUGCCCGGUGCUGGAAGGUUAAGGGGAUCUGUUAGAGCAAUCGAAGCAGUGAACUUAAGCCCCAGUAAACGGCGGCCGUAACUAUAACGGUCCUAAGGUAGCGAAAUUCCUUGUCGGGUAAGUUCCGACCCGCACGAAAGGCGUAACGAUUUGGGCACUGUCUCAACAACAGACUCGGUGAAAUUGUAAUUCCGGUGAAGAUGCCGGAUACCUGCGACAGGACGGAAAGACCCCAUGGAGCUUUACUGUAGCUUGACAUUGGGUCUUGGUACUACAUGUACAGGAUAGGUGGGAGGCUUUGAAACCAGGACGCCAGUUUUGGCGGAGCCAUCCUUGGGAUACCACCCUUGUAGUACUGGGACUCUAACCAUAGGCCAUGAAUCUGGUCUUGGGACACUGUCAGGUGGGCAGUUUGACUGGGGCGGUCGCCUCCCAAAAGGUAACGGAGGCGCUCAAAGGUUCUCUCAGUACGGUCGGAAAUCGUACGUAGAGUGUAAAGGCAAAAGAGAGCUUGAUUGCAAGACAUACAGGUCGAGCAAGGAUGAAAAUCGGACUUAGUGAUCCGGUGGUUCUGCGUGGAAGGGCCAUCGCUCAACGGAUAAAAGCUACCCUGGGGAUAACAGGCUUAUCUCCCCCAAGAGUCCACAUCGACGGGGAGGUUUGGCACCUCGAUGUCGGCUCAUCACAUCCUGGGGCUGUAGUAGGUCCCAAGGGUUGGGCUGUUCGCCCAUUAAAGUGGUACGCGAGCUGGGUUCAGAACGUCGUGAGACAGUUCGGUCCCUAUCCGUCGCAGGCGUAGGAAAUUUGAGAAGACCUGUCCUUAGUACGAGAGGACCGGGAUGGACG
rnacentral:rRNA from 1 species